UAGUUUAGUUCUUUCUUUUUCUUUCCAGUCUAUAAAUACUCUCUCUAUAUCUCUUUCAUAGUAUGAACUUUUCUUUUACAUGACAUAUAUGGGCAUGGCCAAUUAUUUCAUGUAUUAUCCUGUAGUUUUGUCAGAAAAUUAUAAUAUAUAUACAUUGUAGCAGGUUUUCUUCUUCUUUUUCUUUUAAAUAAACUAUUCUUCAUUUUUAAAUACAUUUUCUCAUUUGUUCAAAUAUAUAUCAAUACUCAUGUCAAAUACCAGUGCUUAAUAUUGUGCUGAGAAUUCUGAGUUAAUUGACUGCCAUUGUGCUAGUAGCUAGUCUCACUAUUAAAUAUUAGUUCACAUAUUGCUGUUCUUAUAGAAAUUUAAUAUUUAAAUUCUUACACCUACUCUCAUUGAAAAAAUC
rnacentral:misc_RNA from 1 species